rnacentral:rRNA from 1 species
CUACGGGGUGCUGCAGUGGGGAAUAUUGCACAAUGGAGGAAACUCUGAUGCAGCAACGCCGCGUGGAGGAUGACACUUUUCGGGGCGUAAACUCCUUUUAUAUAGGAAGAAGAUGACGGUACUAUAUGAAUAAGCGCCGGCUAACUCCGUGCCAGCAGCCGCGGUAAUACGGAGGGCGCAAGCGUUACUCGGAAUCACUGGGCGUAAAGAGCGUGUAGGCGGAUUCAAAAGUCAGAAGUGAAAUCCUAUAGCUUAACUAUAGAACUGCUUCUGAAACUCUUAAUCUAGAAUAUGGGAGAGGUAGAUGGAAUUUCUGGUGUAGGGGUAAAAUCCGUAGAGAUCAGAAGGAAUACCGAUUGCGAAGGCGAUCUACUAGAACAUUAUUGACGCUGAGACGCGAAAGCGUGGGGAGCAAACAGGAUUAGAUACCCUCGUAGUC